ACGAACGCUGGCGGCGUGCCUAAUACAUGCAAGUUGAGCGCUGAAGGUUGGUACUUGUACCAACUGGAUGAGCAGCGAACGGGUGAGUAACGCGUGGGGAAUCUGCCUUUGAGCGGGGGACAACAUUUGGAAACGAAUGCUAAUACCGCAUAAAAACUUUAAACACAAGUUUUAAGUUUGAAAGAUGCAAUUGCAUCACUCAAAGAUGAUCCCGCGUUGUAUUAGCUAGUUGGUGAGGUAAAGGCUCACCAAGGCGAUGAUACAUAGCCGACCUGAGAGGGUGAUCGGCAACAUUGGGACUGAGACACGGCCCAAACUCCUACGGGAGGCAGCAGUAGGGAAUCUUCGGCAAUGGACGAAAGUCUGACCGAGCAACGCCGCGUGAGUGAAGAAGGUUUUCGGAUCGUAAAACUCUGUUGGUAGAGAAGAACGUUGGUGAGAGUGGAAAGCUCAUCAAGUGACGGUAACUACCCAGAAAGGGACGGCUAACUACGUG
rnacentral:rRNA from 1 species